rnacentral:rRNA from 1 species
GACGAACGCUGGCGGCGUGCUUAACACAUGCAAGUCGAACGGAGAAUUUAUUUCGGUAAAUUCUUAGUGGCGAACGGGUGAGUAACGCGUGGGCAACCUGCCCUUCAGAUGGGGACAACAUCCCGAAAGGGGUGCUAAUACCAAAUACGAUCACGCUGCCGCAUGGCGGUGUGAUGAAAGAUGGCCUCUAUUUAUAAGCUAUCGCUGAAGGAUGGGCCUGCGGCUGAUUAGCUAGUUGGUGGGGUAACGGCCUACCAAGGCGAUGAUCAGUAGCCGGUCUGAGAGGAUGAACGGCCACAUUGGGACUGAGACACGGCCCAAACUCCUACGGGAGGCAGCAGUGGGGAAUAUUCCGCAAUGGACGAAAGUCUGACGGAGCAACGCCGCGUGAGUGAUGAAGGUUUUCGGACUGUAAAGCUCUGUUGUUUAGGACGAAAGUGCCUGUUGCAAAUAGUUGCAGGUAUUGACGGUACUGAACGAGGAAGCCACGGCUAACUACGUGCCAGCCGCCGCCGUAA